rnacentral:tmRNA from 2 species
GGGGAUGUAAAGGUUUCGACGGGGAUCGGGAGCCUUAGUAAGCGAGCAGCGGUGCGGGACCGCUCUAAUACCCGUAAACUUAAAAUUAAACGACAACAAUAGAGUUGCCUACGCUGCCUAAUUAAGGCGGCCGUCCUUCCCGGGAGCACCACGGCCUGGGAAAGGGCGUCGAUGAGUGGUGAACGUGAACGCGGCUACGCCUUUACCCGCGUCACGGCUGAAAGGCUACUGAACCGCUGAGCCUGCCUGUGGGCGCUGCGGCAAGGGAAUGUGAAAACACCGGCUGCGCUCGGAGAAGGCUUUGGCAAACGGUUUUCGGACAGGAGUUCGAUUCUCCUCAUCUCCACCA